rnacentral:lncRNA from 1 species
CUAAGCGGUUCCCACGACCUCUGGAGCUCUCAUCUGCUGACCCAAGUCACCUCAACUUUUUGUUGGCUGCCUCAAUACUAAGGGCGGAGACAUUUGGAAUACCCAUACCUGAUUGGGCCAAAAAUCCAGAGAAACUGGCUGAAGCUGUUGACAAGGUCAUUGUACCUGAUUUCCAACCAAGACAGGGGGUUAAGAUAGAGACAGAUGAGAAGGCUACUAGCCUAUCCUCUGCUUCUGUUGAUGAUGCUGCUGUCAUUGAAGAGCUUAUUGCAAAGUUGGAAUCAAUUUCCAAAACAUUGCCGCCAGGAUUCCACAUGAACCCAAUACAGUUUGAGAAGGUCAGUAUGUCUAAUUGAUCACAUCUAAGACUUCAAUGUUUUUCUAAGACUUCAAUGUUUCUCUAAGAGUUUUGCUACACCCAUAUACUGUAGCUUUUAGCUGUCUGUUUGGUAUCCACAUGUCUCUAGAAUGAACACUCUUAUGUGUUACAUAUUCAGAAGUUCAGUGAAUUGUAUUGAGAUUGAGAGUCACUGAGCUAUUAUACUUUUAUAUGCAGGACGAUGACACCAAUUUCCAUAUGGACUUGAUAGCUGGCUUUGCUAACAUGCGGGCAAGGAACUACAGCAUCCCCGAAGUUGACAAGCUGAAGGCAAAGUUCAUAGCAGGAAGGAUCAUCCCGGCCAUUGCCACCUCGACUGCAAUGGCCACUGGUCUUGUCUGCCUGGAGCUUUACAAAGUCCUCGCUGGCGGGCACAAGGUUGAAGACUACCGCAACACAUUUGCGAACCUCGCAAUCCCCCUCUUCUCCAUUGCGGAGCCUGUUCCACCCAAGACCAUCAAGCACCAAGACAUGUCCUGGACCGUGUGGGACCGAUGGACCAUAACUGGCAACAUCACCCUGAGGGAGCUCCUGGAGUGGCUCAAGGAGAAGGGGUUGAACGCGUACAGCAUAUCUUGUGGGACCUCGCUGCUGUACAACUCCAUGUUCCCGAGGCACAAGGAGCGGCUGGACAGGAAGGUGGUUGAUGUAGCCAGGGAGGUGGCCAAGGUGGAGGUGCCCUCAUACCGCCGCCACCUGGAUGUCGUGGUGGCCUGUGAGGACGACGAUGACAAUGAUGUGGACAUCCCUCUUGUGUCAGUUU